UUAUAUUAUAACGUUGUGGGCGCGUGUAUUUAUAACGUUGUGGGAUUAAUGUGGUUAUAAAAGCUCAAAUUAAUACCCACAACGUUAUAAAUACACGCUCCCACAACGUUAUAAUAUAUA
rnacentral:misc_RNA from 13 species